rnacentral:rRNA from 1 species
GGGUGCGAUCAUACCAGCGUUAAUGCAUCAGAUCCCAUCAGAACUUCGCAAUUAAGCGCGCUUGGGCUAGAGUAGCACUGGGAUGGGUGACCUCUCAGGAAGUCCUAGUGUUGCACCCU